UUAUUGGGGUUUAUCUGAAUUGUAUGGUGAUGAAACGUUGUUAACAGAUUUUCUAAUUUUUGUCUCUAUCGAUUUUGUUUCCGUAAAUACAUCUUUUGUGUAUAUAUUGUCUUGUACAAAGAAACAUUGAUUAAGUAGAGAAAUAGGAUAAUCAAUCUCUGUACUUAAUACAUCAUCCAUUGAAGCAGGUUAGGAAUCGAUCCAAUAUGAGGCUCUGCAAAAACAAUUCAGAGAAGAUUCUGCAAAAACAAUUUAGGAGAAGAAGGAGUGAAAUCGCAGGGGCAAUUUGGUCAAUUCAUUUCCCAAAAACUGCCUAUCUUCAUAAGCCCAAUCAUAAUGUGCUCUUUCUCUAAUUUAUGGCCCAAAAUGUACCCAAUAUUAUAAAAGCCCCAGUAUAAGCCCCCAAUUUCUGAAAGUUUUUAAAUUUGCUUUUAUUUCCUAAAACUUGUCUAUAAAAAAAAUUUCCUGUAAAACUUUUUUAGUUUGGGACCCUAAAUUUUAAAACCGGCCCUAUACAAAACCUUGAGAUAUCUAUCUCGUUGGAUUAUACUGUAUCUUUAAGAAUGUUGAGUGACAUUUCAUGUUCAUACAUACGUUUGAAGGUUUUCAUCGAAGUGGCUCUCACUUAGGAUCGAAACCUUGUUUACCCUCAGGCCUCAGUAUUAUGUUGCAUAUAAAUCUUUUUAUAACGAACUAAUACGCAUAUUGAAAGUUUGUAAGGAAAAUAUUUUGUAGUAAAAUCUAGACCUUGUUAUAUUGGUUCAGUGACAUAGUGAAUGUUAGUACAAAAUAGCUAUUUGUUACAAAAUCCACAUAAGAUGGUUGUAUUUAUAGAGCUAAGUAAAGUCUUCAUACA